AGAGUUUGAUCCUGGCUCAGGACGAACGCUGGCGGCGUGCUUAACACAUGCAAGUCGAACGAUGAACUCCAGCUUGCUGGGGGGAUUAGUGGCGAACGGGUGAGUAACACGUGAGUAACCUGCCCUUGACUCUGGGAUAAGCGCUGGAAACGGCGUCUAAUACCGGAUACGAGCUUCAGCCGCAUGGCUAGGAGUUGGAAAGAAUUUCGGUCAAGGAUGGACUCGCGGYCUAUCAGCUAGUUGGUGAGGUAAUGGCUCACCAAGGCGACGACGGGUAGCCGGACCUGAGAGGGUGACCGGCCACACUGGGACUGAGACACGGCCCAGACUCCUACGGGAGGCAGCAGUGGGGAAUAUUGCACAAUGGGCGAAAGCCUGAUGCAGCAACGCCGCGUGAGGGAUGACGGCCUUCGGGUUGUAAACCUCUUUUAGUAGGGAAGAAGCGAAAGUGACGGUACCUGCAGAAAAAGCACCGGCUAUCUACGUGCCAGCAGCC
rnacentral:rRNA from 1 species